rnacentral:rRNA from 1 species
CCUACGGUGGGCAGCAGUGGGGAAUAUUGGGCAAUGGGCGCAAGCCUGACCCAGCAACGCCGCGUGAAGGAAGAAGGCUUUCGGGUUGUAAACUUCUUUUCUCAGGGACGAAGCAAGUGACGAUCCCUGAGGAAUAAGCCACGGCUAACUACGUGCCAGCAGCCGCGGUAAUACGUAGGUGGCAAGCGUUAUCCGGAUUUACUGGGUGUAAAGGGCGUGUAGGCGGGACUGCAAGUCAGAUGUGAAAACCACGGGCUCAACCUGUGGCCUGAAGUUGACCCUGUAGUUCGUGAGUACUGGAGAGGCAGACGGAAUUCCUGGUGUAGCGGUGAAAUGCGUAGAUAUUAGGAGGAACACCAGUGGCGAAGGCGGUCUGCUGGACAGCAACUGACGCUGAGGCGCGAAAGCGUGGGGAGCAAACAGGAUUAGAUACCCCAGUAGUC